CAGUGCCGUUGUGCCAUUAUAUCCUUUCUUCCCCCCUUUCUACAUGUAUUCAGUUCCUGUUCUACAUAUUGUCCAUUAGAAUGAAAUUCUUCCUCUGAUCAGGAACAUCCCAGGUGGAUGGAAAGAAGCGCUCCUCCCUGUUCUGAGUGAACCGGGUCGUGGAUGGAACAUCUCGCCACAGUCUUCUUUCGCAUUUUUCUAUUUUCUUUUUCAUUAUUAAGCUACCUGUAAUCAAAUAUAUUUCCGUUACUUUAGCAAAGCACCACGAGUUCCCUUAAUGUAACUUUAGAGCUGUUGUUCAUUCUUUAAUUAGAAACGACAUGUAUCUAAAUGGGAAUCAAAUUAAAAAAUAUUUAUCAGCGCUUUAGAAAUAAAAACAAUUUGCAAAUUUUUUUAUGUAAUGAGACAGAGAAAUCUAAAUAAAUAAACAAAUGGAUCACCAACAGGGCGGCACCGCUCCCAGAAAUGCCUCGGAGCCGAGUCACUGGAGGAGAGGCAGAAUCCCAGACGUCAAACACACACACACCUACAGUCUGCCGAUUUACGUUCUUGUUGAAAAGCAACAAGAGCAAUCAAGGGAUGGAGAGGUAGGUUGUCGACUAGUUUUUCUAGUUUCUGGAAUCUUUUAAUGAUUGUCACUCAUCCACCAAACGUCAAUGCUUAAUAUGUAGUUAAAAGUCAGUUCAAGUCGCAUCAAAUAGAACAUCAAAUGAUAGAGUGCAAAAGAAACAGAUUUUAAACAUUAUUUAAAUACAAUUAAAACAUGUGGAAUCUAGAUUACUAGAUUAUUAGAUGAAAAUAGGCAGAUGUAAAAUAAGCCAUAAAAGUUUAGAUAAAUUCAGAAUAUUUCAUGAAUCUAAAUCGGCUGAAAGGUAUAAAUAUUAUGAACUUCUCGAUUCUACUUUUCUUCAAGAUUCUUCAAUAGCAGAGACAAAAAAACAUAAAAUACUUGACUACAAAGAGCCUCAAAGCUUCUAGAGAAAGACCACAACCACUAUGAAGAGACACAAAGCAACGCCAAAAAGAUACAAAGAGUCAAAGACUAUAAAAAGGGACCAACCACCAAAAGACACAAAACAACCAUAAACAACUUAGGAGACACAAAAGACAACUUCACAAAACCCUUCAAGCCUUCACAGCGUGAACUAGGCUGCAGCGCCGUUGUGUCUGAUGUGUCUCUUUGUGGGUCUCUGAAUGUCUUUCUAAUGUCUUUUGUCUCACAGCCUGAGCACAUGCCUUGUUCUCGUGUCAGUCGCACAUGAUGCAUCCUGACAUGUUGACUGUUUACAAACAACGCCCUGCUCUUCUGCCAACGUCACAACAACAGCAAAGAAAUGUCCCCACAAAAGAGUGGGCGGGGCUUGUUUCCCUGUAAUACGUCUGUCUCAAACAGCUGUAAUACCUUUAUUUAGAAAUAGGUUUAUAUGAUGUGAUAAUUCAAAACGAGUGUACAUUUAUUUGUGCAAGCACUAAACAAAUAAAAGCUUUUAUUCAGCAGCAGAUUAAACAGUUCUUCCUCAAUUCCUCAAUUUAAACACUUAAAAUCAACAUUAAAAAAAAUAAAUGUCCCCAAGGGCGGUCAGAAGUGUGGCCCGGGGGCCCAUAACUGGUCUUGUAAUGUAUUGUUCAUGGCCCACAAACACUGUUAAAUAAAAAGUGGUCAAUCAAUUGUAAAUAAGUAACGUUCUGUAUAUAUUGUACAAACAAAUGAUGACACGUGUCAACUGUUUAGCCAGGGUUAAUUCAUAAAGUGGAUCAUUAUCACUUGAAUGGUCUCAAUCACUGCUCUGUUAAUAAUGACAAUAAGGCAUUCAUGCUUUCGAUCGCCCGGAUAUUCUCACACUUACAUGAAAGACUCACAACGUCUGUUGAGCUCACACCGAUUAUACUGGCAUUGAAUAAACUGAAGAAAACAAAUUCAUCUUUUCAUAACUUCCAUGUGUCUUCAACCGAGGUGAAAAGUUCAAACCAGAGUCUGGAUAAGAUGGCAGUUUAUUUAAAGUAAUGGCCUCGGCCACAUGACUCCCUGGUGCCCUUUUAAGAUUUUCUUUCCUAAAAUCUUCUUCUCUUUUGGUUGCAGCAAAUCCCAUGAAUAAUAUCUGAUCAGUAAAUAUAAACAUAAACAUAAAGUAAACAUAAAUAUUCCCUAUUCUUUUAUAAUUAAUAUUUUAUCCUAAGGCCUCGGAUCAGUCCAACACCUCCAGGUCAUGUGACUCCAGGUUCUAAAAGCAUCAUCUUUGCUAAAAUGGCAACACAAGGUGACGUCAGAGGGCUCUGCAGAGAGGAAGUAGAGGAAACACCAAAGAAACAUCAUGUUCUCCAGUACAGACCUCAGAGGACCAGACGAACCGCUGUGAGCUCAUCAGCGCUGCACCAGAAGGUCGUACAGGUCCCCUCUCUCCACUAUAUUAAUGUUUAUUUAUUAACAGAUGGGAAUCAAUCAGGAACGGUAAAUAAACCAGAAGCUAACGCAGCGUUCUGCCUUUCUGGAUGAAAGGAUCAGUUAAAUAAACUAAAACUGAAACAAAAGAAUAACCUUCCAAAAGAGACAAUAAUAAUAAUUUGUAAAAGGAGAAGAGGAAGAGCAGCAACAUCAUAGCAGUACAGGGUUCUUAUUAUUAAAGUAGACGGAUGAAAGGGACACAAUUAACAGGGAAGACUUCCGCCUGAAUAAAAAAGUAGAAAGAACCAAAACAAAGAACUUACAACACAUUACAAAGCAAUAUGAACUACAAAGUGUAUUUCGAAUUAGAAUGGAACCUACAAACACACACUAAUGACUUCAUUUGGGUCCUUUCUACGGAUACAAAACCUUUUUAUUUGCAUAAAAAUACACAUUUACCUCUGAAACCUGUUGUUCAUCCGCAAGAAAGCUUUCGAUGAACGGAGACGUUUCCAGCGUGCUCACCUGUGGACCGACCUGUCUCCACGGGGUGGAGAAGAGGGACACCUAGUGGCACCUGUGUGCUGCUACGUCUGUACCGGGGGAGUCCAGGACAAGAAGGACUCCAAAGCAGAAAUACUUUAUUUUAAAGUAAGAAUACAAAAUGUCUACCGGCAAACGGACCAACGAGUCAGACCAAAAGACCACCCAUCAUGGACUAACGAGCCGACAAGGAGACAGGGACACGCAUGGACAAGGAGACAGAGGGAGGGCCAGGCCGGUGGGGGGCUGUCCGGGAGGAAGUCGGCGUAUCUUGCUGCUACUUGUGACCCUGUCUUUUUCGUGUCUCAUUCUCAUUGUCCUCCUCACCCGUUCACCUGUCGGCCCAGUAGCACAUACAGUAUGUGCUUUCAGGGUCCGAUCGAUGCUCAAGGUGCGUCCGCUCCCGCCGCCCCCCUCGCCAUCCACGCCUUAAAUCUUCGGCUGCUCUCCAGCCACGCCGCCUGCCAAGGGCCCGUUUUAGAAUAACCUAUUUUCCCGGAAAGGACUUGCCGAGGACGCAUCGGAGCAAACCCGUUCUUGUGAGAACCAAAUAUCCAAGAAUGCAUUUCACCGCAGAUACAGACAACAACUGUCAACUGAAAGUCGAAUGUUUCUAAAUACUAGUAACGUUAUAUUAAGUCACAUACAGUCAUUUUAGGACUUUUUUAGGCGAGAAGUUAGUUGUUUAAUCCUCAUGUGGACAAACCUCACAUUUCUGUGGUCGG
ensembl:lncRNA